CUUCAGCCCUGAUGGGAGCGGCAUCCUUUUGUGUAGUGCAAGCGGAACAAAAGAUAGAGCGGACAGCAGGAACACGG
rnacentral:sRNA from 1 species